rnacentral:rRNA from 1 species
GACGAACGCUGGCGGCGUGCUUAACACAUGCAAGUCGAACGGAAAGGCCCCUUUGGGGGUACUCGAGUGGCGAACGGGUGAGUAACACGUGAGUAACCUGCCCUUGACUUCGGGAUAACUUCAGGAAACUGGGGCUAAUACCGGAUAGGAAUCCUUGCUGCAUGGUGGGGGUUGGAAAGCUUCGGCGGUUUUGGAUGGACUCGCGGCUUAUCAGCUUGUUGGUGGGGUAGUGGCUUACCAAGGCUUUGACGGGUAGCCGGCCUGAGAGGGCGACCGGCCACACUGGGACUGAGAUACGGCCCAGACUCCUACGGGAGGAAGCAGUGGGGAAGAUUGCACAAUGGGCGGAAGCCUGAUGCAGCAACGCCGCGGGCGGGAUGACGGCCUUCGGGUUGUAAACCGCUUUCAGCAGGGGCGAAGCUUGUGGUGACGGUACCUGCAGAAGAAGCACCGGCUAACUACGUG